UUGGCUCUCGCAUCGAUGAAGAACGCAGCGAAAUGCGAUAAGUAAUGUGAAUUGCAGAAUUCAGUGAAUCAUCGAAUCUUUGAACGCACCUUGCGCUCCUUGGUAUUCCGAGGAGCACGCCUGUUCGAGUGUCGUGAAACUCUCAAGCUAGAUGCUUUAGUGUCAUCUGCUUGGUUAUUGGACUCUGCUGUCUCCUUGUCUGGAACGGCUGGUCUC
rnacentral:rRNA from 1 species